GGGAGAGGAGGAGAGGCAGGUCUCGGUGUUGUGAUAGGAAGAGAGGCAAGUCUCUGUGUUGUGAUAGGAGGAGAGGCAGGUCUCUGUGUUGUGAUAGGAGGAGAGGCAGGUCUCUGUGAUAGGAGGAGGGGCAGGUCUCAGUGUUGUGAUAGGAGGAGAGGCAGGUCUCAGUGUUGUGAUAGGAGGAGAGGCAGGUCUCUGUGUUGUGAUAGGAGGAGAGGCAGGUCUCUGUGUUGUGAUAGGAGGAGAGGCAGGUCUCUGUGUUGUGAUAGGAGGAGAGGCAGGUCUCUGUGUUGUGAUAGGAGGAGAGGCAGGUCUCUGUUGUGAUAGGAGGAGAGGCAGGUCUCUGUUGUGAUAGGAGGAGAGGCAGGUCUCUGUUGUGAUAGGAGGAGAGGCAGGUCUCUGUUGUGAUAGGAGGAGAGGCAGGUAUCUGUUGUGAUAGGAGGAGAGGCAGGUCUCUGUUGUGAUAGGAGGAGAGGCAGGUCUCUGUUGUGAUAGGAGGAGAGGCCGGUCUCUGUUGUGAUAGGAGGAGAGGCCGGUCUCUGUUGUGAUAGGAGGAGAGGCCGGUCUCUGUUGUGAUAGGAGGAGAGGCCGGUCUCUGUUGUGAUAGGAGGAGAGGCCGUUCUCUGUUUUGAUAGGAGGAGA